ensembl:lncRNA
GUUUGCAAGAGCUCCAACAAGCCCGAACUUCACUGGGGUCUAUCUUGUAUGUUCACAGACUAGGUUCUUAUCCAUCUCCCAGACUUGAGAGGGACACCACCUCCAUCUAGAAAAGACGCUAAAGAGGAAUUUCAUAAAUUACAUUAAUUCAGCCAGUCUGAUCCCAGUAGACUCAACCGAACAUCAAAAUCUCAGGGAGGAAGUUUUUAAAGCACAGAUUUCAGGAUCCUCUUCCAACUGUAAAGCUUCUGCCUCUGUGGGGCUGGUGCACAUGUAGGUAGGUCAGUUCCUCCAAGUGAUUCUGAUGAAGCCCAUGGAGCCCCCAUUAGGGAACCACUGCUGUUCCCAAUUGAAUUGAAAGCUAAGGUUUCUCCAAGUGGACUCCGGAAAAUACAGAUUCCAAAGAGUCUUCCAUUGGGACCACAUGGAGUUACAAAGAGCCUGGUUCCAGCACCGGAUGUGGGUUUCCUCCAAACAAUUAAUCAGCCAAUCAGCAAAUACUUCAUGGGCAGCGAUGCUCGGAGUAACACAAGAAGUAUCGCCCUGAGAGAGCCUGUCCCUGGCGGAAGCGCAACAGCGGCCCCUCCAGGCCAGGCCUUGCGUGGAUCCUAAGGAGCGUGUUAGAGAAAUCCCUUCCUCAGCUUCCUGGGUUUUUGGUUUGGUUUGGUUUGGUUUAGAAAGAUUAGCCCUAAGCUAACAUCUGCCGCCAAUCCUCCUCUUUUUUUGGCUGAGGAAGACUGGCCCUGAGCUAACAUCCGUGCCCAUCUUCCUCUACUUUACAUGUGGGACGCCUGCCACAGCGUGGCUUGCCAAGCCGUGCGUAGGUCCGCACCCGGGAUCCCAACCGGCAACUCCGCCAACGAAGUGGAACGUGCAAACUUAACCGCUGUGCCACCAGCUGACCUGGCUUCCUGUUCUUUUCUGGCCUAGCCAAGGGCUGGGACUCAGGCAAACCUAGAGGGUGGUGGGUGACAGGAAGGAGAAGGGAGCUGUCUUGCCUCGUUAGGUGCAGGAAUGGAGGUCGGGAGGCUGCUCUUCCCAAGCCUGAACAAUCCUGAGAGCUGUUCCCUGCCCCCAGAACCAGGUAGCAGAGACGGCAAGACGAAAUUGCCUUCUGAAGCCUGGGAAAGGCAGUCAACACAGAGACCAGCGACUAACGGAGGAUGCACACGGGGUGGGGCUGGGCACACAGACCACGACCACUUUGAGGCUACACAAAGGGCUUGGAGAUGCCAGAUAUAGCCUAGGGUAGUGGUUUUCAAAAUGUGGAACCAUCAGCAUCACCUGGGACCUUAUUGAAAUGCAAAUUCUUAGAUCCACUGAAUCAGCAACUCUGGGGUUGGGGACAGCACUUCAACGCCUUCAGGGGAUUCCGAUACGUGCUCAAGUUUGAGAACCAGUGGUCGACUCCAGGGAGCCCAGGGAGGGGAGGCGCGUCUCAGACACCCCACACCUACGACACGUGAUGAGUCUGUCUUCCCUAAGUGGGUUCCAGGAAGCCAAGCAGGACCUCAGAUGUCACCCCAGCAAGAAUUACGGCCACUGUCCUCCCCACCAUCCACCCCACACCCUCUCCCUUUGGCCCAGACGCCGGGGACUCCACCUCCCCGCCCCAGUGGGCGAGCAGUCGUCGGUGCACCGUCCCUGCCAAGCGUCGCGGAGUCCACAGGCCCCCGGGCUGCCAGCAGUGACCUUGCGGGGAGGAAUGACGGCCGUGAGACUCCACUCUGACUUAUUUUGUUCCAUUCCGGGAGGAAUAAUUUGUUUCGUAUUGGAAUCAAAGCGCCUCUCGCGGCGCUUCCGUUUUAUCUCGGCCGCCGCGGGGCCGGGGCGCGGCGGCUGCUUCCCAUUAGGCGGGCCUGGUCCCCAUUACGCGGCCGGCUCCGCGAACCGGGCGCAGCCCACCCGCCUCCGCCCGCGACACCCGAGCCCCACUCCUCCCCGCCCCAGAGACAAGCGGGACUGGGGGGCUGGAGGCGGCCCGGGGGUCCACACAGCUCCCCUCCGCUGCUUGGCUGUCGCCGUGCCUGCCAUCACACCGCUAGCGGCGCUCCUUGGGGUCAGACGCGGCUCCUACGAGGACACUUUUAGGUCCCCAUCUCUUCAGUGGAAGUAGGUCCCCAGGGCUCUCGGCUUUAGGCCCUGGGCCCACCAAAAGCCGCACCCACGGAGGAGAGCAGCGAGGGACCCCUCAACCCGGAGAGGAAAAGGUGUCCCCUCCACCUGCCCAAAGAACCCCGGGGCCGGGCCCUCACGGCGGCGCAGGGAGCGCGGGAGACCUGCUUCUCUCCUAGUCCGGCAUCCACUUCACAGACAGUGUAGACCGUCAAUAGGGAGUAUAUUGAACAGAAGAGCCACACCCAAUCCCCCUGCAGACAAGGGGCCCGCUGAAAGCAGACCACCUCCCACCGGGGAAGGGCGGUCUGCACGCGCUGGCCAAAGCAAGGAGCUGGCCUUCCACGUGCUGCCUUCCCCAGGGCGGCAAAGGGUCUGCGCCCACCUGCACGGCUGGGAGAAACAGCCAGACGCCCCCACAACCGCCAGAGCAAAAAACAUUAACACAAAGGCCCUCAUGUUCCUGUCACAUUUCACACUUCCUUUGAUUUCAUUAAUUUUGUUUUUGCACAAACAAUAUUCUAAUAAUUAUGGCGACUUAGAAAUGGGACUGAUGAUGGCUCUGCUUCCAUCCAAAACAAGGGAAAUUCCACGCAGCUUCUAUUACCCCGGAUGAUGAAGCCACAGGGGAAGGCAGAGUGCUGGUUCACUGCAUUCUUGUGAUAAAUGUGAGAAAACACAAUGUAUUUUGUAUGUCAAAUCUUAUAAUUGAAGAUAAAGUACAAUUCCAGAUUUUUGCCUAAGGGGGAAGAAAAAUGGAUGGAAAGCCACCCAAUCACCCAAAGUCUGACCACCAAUAAACCAAUUAAUUUCAUUUUUCCGUGUUGCUACACAGUUCAUAACUAUUUAACAAC